GAUGAACGCUGGCGGCGUGCCUAAUACAUGCAAGUCGAGCGAACGGACGAGAAGCUUGCUUCUCUGAUGUUAGCGGCGGACGGGUGAGUAACACGUGGAUAACCUACCUAUAAGACUGGGAUAACUUCGGGAAACCGGAGCUAAUACCGGAUCAUAUUUUGAACCGCAUGGUUCAAAAGUGAAAGACGGUCUUGCUGUCUCUUAUAGCUGGAUCCGCGCUGCAUUAGCUAGUUGGUAAGGUAACGGCUUACCAAGGCAACGAUGCAUAGCCGACCUGAGAGGGUGAUCGGCCACACUGGAACUGAGACACGGUCCAGACUCCUACGGGAGGCAGCAGUAGGGAAUCUUCCGCAAUGGGCGAAAGCCUGACGGAGCAACGCCGCGUGAGUGAUGAAGGUCUUCGGAUCGUAAAACUCUGUUAUUAGGGAAGAACAUAUGUGUAAGUAACUGUGCACAUCUUGACGGUACCUAAUCAGAAAGCCACGGCUAACUACGUG
rnacentral:rRNA from 1 species